rnacentral:rRNA from 1 species
UACGAAGGGUGCAAGCGUUGCUCGGAAUUAUUGGGCGUAAAGAGCUCGUAGGCGGUUUGUCGCGUCUGCUGUGAAAACUGGAGGCUCAACCUCCAGCCUGCAGUGGGUACGGGCAAACUAGAGUGCGGUAGGGGAGAUUGGAAUUCCUGGUGUAGCGGUGGAAUGCGCAGAUAUCAGGAGGAACACCGAUGGCGAAGGCAGAUCUCUGGGCCGUAACUGACGCUGAGGAGCGAAAGCAUGGGGAGCGAACAGG